AACGACUCUCGGCAACGGAUAUCUCGGCUCACGCAUCGAUGAAGAACGUAGCAAAAUGCGAUACUUGGUGUGAAUUGCAGAAUCCCGUGAACCAUCGAGUUUUUGAACGCAAGUUGCGCCCAAAGCCAUCCGGCUGAGGGCACGCCUGCCUGGGCGUCACGCA
rnacentral:rRNA from 5 species